rnacentral:rRNA from 1 species
GAUGAACGCUGGCGGCGUGCCUAAUACAUGCAAGUCGAACGAGGUGCUUGAGUAGCAAUACAAGAGUAUCCUAGUGGCGAACGGGUGAGUAACGCGUGGGUGACCUGCCCCGAAGUGUGGGAUAACAGUCCGAAAGGAUUGCUAAUACCUCAUGUGGUUAUCGGAUUUAGAAACUGAUAACUAAAGCAGCAAUGCGCUUUGGGAGGGACCUGCGUCCCAUCAGCUAGUUGGUGAGGUAAUGGCUCACCAAGGCUACGACGGGUAGGGGACCUGAGAGGGUGGCCCCCCANAAUGGAACUGAAACACGGUCCAUACACCUACGGGUGGCAGCAGUAGGGAAUAUUGCACAAUGGGCGAAAGCCUGAUGCAGCAACGCCGCGUGUGCGAUGAAGGCCUUCGGUCGUAAAGCACUUUCUAAGAGAUGAGAAAGGACAGUAUCUUAGGAAUAAGUCUCGGCUAACUACGUGCCAGCAGCCGCGGUAAUGUG